GACGAACGCUGGCGGCGUGCUUAACACAUGCAAGUCGAGCGGAAAGGCCCUGCUUUUGUGGGGUGCUCGAGUGGCGAACGGGUGAGUAACACGUGAGUAACCUGCCCUUGACUUUGGGAUAACUUCAGGAAACUGGGGCUAAUACCGGCUAGGAGCUCCUGCUGCAUGGUGGGGGUUGGAAAGUUUCGGCGGUUGGGGAUGGACUCGCGGCUUAUCAGCUUGUUGGUUGGGUAGUGGCUUACCAAGGCUUUGACGGGUAGCCGGCCUGAGCGGGUGACCGGCCACAUUGGGACUGGGAUACGGCCCAGACUCCUACGGGAGGCAGCAGUGGGGAAUAUUGCACAAUGGGCGGAAGCCUGAUGCAGCAACGCCGCGUGCGGGAUGACGGCCUUCGGGUUGUAAACCGCUUUCGCCUGUGACGAAGCGUGAGUGACGGUAAUGGGUAAAGAAGCACCGGCUAACUACGUG
rnacentral:rRNA from 1 species